rnacentral:rRNA from 1 species
AGCAGGCGCGAAAACUUUACAAUGCGGGAAACCGUGAUAAGGGGACACCGAGUGCCAGCGUCAUACGCUGGCUGUCCAGGUGUGUAAAAUACACCUGUUAGCAAGGGCCGGGCAAGACCGGUGCCAGCCGCCGCGGUAACACCGGCGGCCCGUGUGGUGAUCGUGAUUAUUGGGUCUAAAGGGUCCGUAGCCGGUUUGGUCAGUCCUCCGGGAAAUCUGACAGCUCAACUAUUAGGCUUU